UACGAAGGGGGCUAGCGUUGUUCGGAUUUACUGGGCGUAAAGCGCACGUAGGCGGCUCGUUAAGUUGGGGGUGAAAUCCUGGAGCUCAACUCCAGAACUGCCUUCAAUACUGGCGAUCUAGAGUCCGGAAGAGGUGAGUGGAACUCCUAGUGUAGAGGUGGAAUUCGUAGAUAUUAGGAAGAACACCAGUGGCGAAGGCGGCUCACUGGUCCGGUACUGACGCUGAGGUGCGAAAGCGUGGGGAGCAAACAGG
rnacentral:rRNA from 1 species